AUCACCGUUGGAGCACCCAGUGGUUCAUCCCUCUCUUCCCUAUUGUUCCUUCUUUUGCAGAUGUUUAUGGAUCUCAGAGGCACGUGGUGCCGAGAGAGGAUCAGCGUGUUUCCCAAGGCUGCAGCAGAGCCGGGCCCCACAGCCACUCAGAGCAUAUCUCCUGCUCCCAGCCUGGAUCUUUUUGGGGACAGAGUCGUCUCCAGUCCAAGCCAAGUAAGCAGCUUGUGGCUAGGGCUGGGUGUCCCCAGGAAUUGGGUGGUGCUCAAGCCAGUUCCACUGGGCCUUCUCAGCCUUUGAGGCCCAGCCCAAUGUGGUGGGAAGGGCAGCACUGCUCAGGGGAAGCUGCUGCUGUGGCAGCUCUUCGAGUCUCCCCACGCCUUCUGCAGGUGCCAGGCUUUGUUAGGAACAUGCACCAGAGGCUUGUGUCCAAUGGGCCUCCAGACGAGUGGCUGCUCAUGGACAUCCUGAGGCUGACUGAGGCACACCCCACCGAUGUUGCAGUGACCCUCCUGCGCUGUGCCCCAUCGUGUGACAGAGGUGCUGCAAUCAUGUGGAAGAACAUAGCCUCAUCAGGAACAACACUGAAAAAGGUGCUGCCAACACUGCUUUGUGUGAUGGAGGGCUGGCCACUGCAGAAAAUGUACACCUCUGAUGGGGACACUGAGGAUGUGUUUUCCCUGGCUGCAACCAGGGUGCUUUGGGAGAUUCUCCGCCUGCCCUGGUGCCCAGAGCCAUUUGUGGAAUAUUUCCCCAAUCUCUUUGUGGCUCUGCUCUUCCAAGUUUACCUCAGUACAGAGCAGGUAUCAGAGGACAUAAAUGCUUUAUGGAAAAGAUGUCAGGAGGAAAAUUGCCUUCCCGCCAAUAUCAACAGAUUUGUAGUGAACACUGUGAAGGCACUGCUGCACCACCUGCGUUGUCUGGAUUUACUGAUGGCAGUGGAACGCAGGUGUGCCUGGGACACGCUGCUCUGUGCCGACACCCACCACUAUGCAGUGGGUCUGCUGGCCAGGUGAGACCUCAUUCUCCCCACC
rnacentral:lncRNA from 1 species